rnacentral:rRNA from 1 species
UACGUAGGUGGCAAGCGUUGUCCGGAAUUAUUGGGCGUAAAGCGCGCGCAGGCGGUCCUUUAAGUCUGAUGUGAAAGCCCAUGGCUCAACCGUGGAGGGUCAUUGGAAACUGGGGGACUUGAGUGCAGGAGAGAAGAGUGUAAUUCCACGUGUAGCGGUGAAAUGCGUAGAGAUGUGGAGGAACACCAGUGGCGAAGGCGACUCUUUGGUCUGUAACUGACGCUGAGGCGCGAAAGCGUGGGGAGCAAACAGG